GACGAACGCUGGCGGCGUGCUUAACACAUGCAAGUCGAACGGAAAGGCCCUGCUUUUGUGGGGUGCUCGAGUGGCGAACGGGUGAGUAACACGUGAGUAACCUGCCCUUGACUUUGGGAUAACUUCAGGAAACUGGGGCUAAUACCGGAUAGGAGCUCCUGCUGCAUGGUGGGGGUUGGAAAGUUUCGGCGGUUGGGGAUGGACUCGCGGCUUAUCAGCUUGUUGGUGGGGUAGUGGCUUACCAAGGCUUUGACGGGUAGCCGGCCUGAGAGGGUGACCGGCGACAUUGGGACUGAGAUACGGCGCAGACUCCUACGGGAGGCAGCAGUGGGGAAUAUUGCACAGUGAGCGGAAGCCUGAUGCAGCAACGCCGCGGGCGGGAUGACGGCCUUCGGGUAGUAAACCGCUUUCGCCUGUGACGAAGCGUGAGUGACGGUAAUGGGUAAAGAAGCACCGGCUAACUACGUG
rnacentral:rRNA from 1 species